UAAUACGUAGGGUGCGAGCGUUGUCCGGAAUUAUUGGGCGUAAAGAGCUCGUAGGCGGUCUGUCGCGUCGAAUGUGAAAUCCCGGGGCUUAACUCCGGGCGUGCAUUCGAUACGGGCAGGCUAGAGUUCGGUAGGGGAGACUGGAAUUCCUGGUGUAGCGGUGAAAUGCGCAGAUAUCAGGAGGAACACCGGUGGCGAAGGCGGGUCUCUGGGCCGAUACUGACGCUGAGGAGCGAAAGCGUGGGGAGCGAACAGGAUUAGAUACCCUGGUAGUCCACGCUGUAAACGUUGGGCGCUAGGUGUGGGGGUCCUUCCACGAUCUCCGUGCCGCAGCUAACGCAUUAAGCGCCCCGCCUGGGGAGUACGGCCGCAAGGCUA
rnacentral:rRNA from 1 species